rnacentral:rRNA from 1 species
UACAGAGGUCUCGAGCGUUGUUCGGAUUCAUUGGGCGUAAAGGGCGCGUAGGCGGCCUGUUAAGUCGAACGUGAAAUCCCCGGGCUCAACCCGGGAACUGCGUCCGAUACUGGCAGGCUUGAAUCCGGGAGAGGGAUGUGGAAUUCCAGGUGUAGCGGUGAAAUGCGUAGAUAUCUGGAGGAACACCGGUGGCGAAGGCGGCAUCCUGGACCGGUAUUGACGCUGAGGCGCGAAAGCCAGGGGAGCAAACGGG